UUUUAGGAAGAUGUUAAGUGUGGCAGUGGUGGAGAAAAUGCUGCUCAUGUGGCGUGGGUGAACUUUAUGACCGAAGUCGGUCACCAGAUGCAGACACAGAGAGGACAGACGGGAAGAGACAUGGCUGUCAUUUCCAGUUCUGCCCCUCGGUACUGUGUGACCCUGGAUAAGUCAUCGGAGCUUUUCUGUGCCUCCCUUAGAAGGUGAAAAAGCAGGUGAGCUAACACAGACGUAAUCGUGGGUGACAUAAACGUUAUCGACAGAACACCAGAGAGAAGAGUCAACGACUUCAAAGAAAUGUGACACUACUACCAGGGAGGGGAUUUCUGGCCUCUUCCACAGCCCUGGUGAAAAUCUUGCUAGGAACAAUACGUCUUCUGUGAAACCCUCUCCACAGAAAGUGGUGGACAUAAAUCUCCCCUCUCACCGCUGGUGCUGAAGUCAAACCGAGACCAGCUAGAGGAUUUGGAAGGAUUGGC
ensembl:lncRNA